GCCACGGUGGUCUAGCGGUUAGAACGCUGGCCUUGUAAUCCUGGGGUCCUGGGUUCGAUUCCCGGUGGUGCCC
rfam:Zootermopsis nevadensis contig27494, whole genome shotgun sequence.